rnacentral:rRNA from 1 species
AGCGAACGCUAGCGGCAGGCUUAACACAUGCAAGUCGAGCGCCAGGUUUCGGCCUGGAGCGGCGAACGGGUGAGUAACACGUAGGUCACGUACCCUAUGGUGGGGAACACCCCGGGGAAACUCGGAUCAAUGCCCCAUAUGUCCGAAAGGAUGAAAGCGCUUCGGCGCGCCAGCGGAUCGGCCUGCGGCCCAUUAUUUAAUCCUAGUUGGUGAGGUAACGGCUCACCAAGGGUACGAUGGGUAGCUGGUCUGAGAGGACGAUCAGCCACCCUGGAACUGAGACACGGCCCAGACUCCUACGGGAGGCAGCAGUGGGGAAUAUUGGACAAUGGGCGAAAGCCUGAUCCAGCCAUGCCGCGUGAGUGAUGAAGGCCUUCGGGUUGUAAAGCUCUGUCGCGGGGGAAGAAGUUCUGACGGUACCCCACAAGAAAGCACCGGCUAACUCCGUGCCAGCCGCCGCAGUAA